UUAACUAUUAUAUAGUACUCAGACGACACUAAACAAACGAGUUUGGGUCCUCUGGCAGGCGCAGUCAGCCGGAGCCGACGCCUAGAAGGCGGCCUGCCAAAGCAACAAAGGUAAUAUAAACACGGUUUGGGAAUUACCCAUUUCAAAAAACGGGGCGUUCUUUAAUGAUCCUUCCGCAGGUUCACCUACGGAAA
rnacentral:misc_RNA from 1 species